CAAACAGACCCUUGAAAUGUCAGAAGCCUUGUUAAAACAAAUUGGGGUUCCUUCAAUCACCUCUUCCCCACACGAAUCUCUGCAAAAGGGUAACUGGGUAAAGCUCAUAUGUGGUGCUAGCUUUGAGGAUGUUAUUGAUAUAAGGAAUCUCUCUUUGGUUUACACUCUAGCUGGAGUCAACUGUAUCGACUGUGCUGCAGAUGCGUCCAUAGUAAAUGCAGUGAAUGA